rnacentral:lncRNA from 1 species
AAGACAACCCGAAUGUCUUUAUUGAUUUCCUAUUUACAAAUCACAAAGCUGGCCAAAAGCAGAGUGUGAACACGGAACGAGAGCGUCGAUACAUUCAUCAAUACAGCACUGGAGCGGGGACAGGCCCGGCUCCGCUCGGAAGGUGACGUGGUACAACAGGAUGUCUCAUACUUCUGGGCACAAGCAUGUCCAACACUGAAUUACAUUCACCUAUCUACAGAAGCCAGGAUUGCAUUGAGCUGCGUAAAAGCCGUAAGAACAGAAGUUGCUCGAGUGCAGUUCAGUUUAACUCGUCCCCGCCUAAGCCACCAGACCUACCUCAUGGGUGACGGCAGGAGGAUGGAUUUGGGAAGAGAACCUGUGCGACAAAACUGCAGCAGAACCUGACUCUUCCUGGGAAGAGCAAGGCCUGAGCCCUGCGCUCCCCCCAGCCCUGGGCUCAGCUUUGCUGCUGCCAAAUUCCAACGAUUCCCACUAUUGCCACGUAUGUACAAAAGGCCCCAACGCAGCUCUCGGGUGCCAGCAGUGAAGUUCCCACCACCCCUGGGAAAAGGAGCAGGGUUGCGCAUCCUGACAGACACUUCCCUCUCCAGAAGGAGCGUGCCCGGACCAUGAAUCCAUCUCACAACAGUUUGCAUUGCACAGAGUCAGGUUCAAUCACUAAGUCAGUCAUGGACCCAUCUGGUUUUCUUCUCUUUUUUAGUACUGGCCAUAUCAAAAACAUCCUACCUCGAGCAGGCCGACAACAGACACAUCUUACAACGUCUUCCUAGAGAACGUAACACACUAUUGACAUCUCUACUAGCUACUGGUGAGGAGGUGCAGGGUGUUCCUGGCAGUAUUGCUGCUGGAGAUACCCGGCAGCCACAGGCUGAGGGCAGAGCCUGACCGCAGGGAGCAGGAGGAGGUGGCAUGUCCCCAGAGAGCAAGCAGGCACCGAGCUGUCCCCACCAGCAAAGGAUGAGGUUUCAGCUUUGAGCAGCUCCAUGCAGUGGUAACUGCUGCCCGGUGCGUUCCAGCAUGUGCCUGGAACCAGGGGGGAGGUUUGUGAAGGGGAACCUCAGCUCUGAGGCAGCACCACCCCUGCAGCAAGUCCCACAUGGACUAGGGAAGGCUCCGGCCAUGCUGCGAAGCAACACUUCGAUGACAGCUUCCUCUGCAGCGGAGGGAAUAGUCCCGUGGUGCUCGCCAGUGGGCAGUGACCAUGAGGCUGGGCAAGGACAAGUCACCCACCUCCCUCCCAGCAGGACAGCACUUCCCUGCUCAGCCACGGUCGUACCUGCUGGUGGGGAAAAGCAACCAGCCCUCAGCAGCUCAGAAGAGGCAUCUUCAAGAUGACCAAGCUCUGGGGCCCAAAGAGAGGCGACAUCUGUAACUCUCCCAUCCUGCUGCGCCUGUCCAGGCAGUUGGGCUGUGCAAGCACACACAGGCAAAGAGAAAAUCCUUAAUGUCUUCCUAAACUGCUUCAUAAAUCCCUGUCCAUCUGCUGUGUUAUCAGGGAAGGGGCAGUUGCACAUCAAGGCUCUCUGCCUACUGCACAUCUGACGUGGCCCAAGGCAGGUUUAGCAAUGCUCAGAACAGAGAGAAACUGCAUUGAAACGUGCAUGAGAGCAGCAGCAAUCACAGGAACAGGGGCAGGGCAGGCAGCUCCCCUGCUCCAACCAACAAACCCGGCACUAUCUGCAAAGGUCUCAGCACGGUGACAACUACUGUGGGCACCUUGAACCCUGCCUGGGGUGUCAGAGGAUCACCCCUUGUUUGGAACGCGCUGUGGAGCUUGGAGGCAGCACCCCCAGGCCCCAGCCUGCACCCAGGGCAGGGCCAAGCCCCUGCCCUGUCCCUGCUCCUCCAGGAGCUCCACUCACCGUCACCAAGGCCAAGGAUUGUCACAGAGCAGUGAGAGGAGCACGAGAACGCCUCAGUCUCUCCAGUUUUGAGGUCUCCCUCAAGACCAUGUAGUGCUGAAACAGCGAAGCCUCAGGGAAAAGGCCACUUCCCAAAACCUCCUGCGUGCGGCGGCUGGCGGGAGGGAAGGCGCUGGGCACGGGCUGGCCGAGCAGGAGAGGAUGGGGCCACCCAGCCCUCGAGUGUGUCUUUAUGCAGGAUUAUCUCCUCACAGCAAGUCUCACCACAACCAGAGCCACUCGUUUCCAUGCUUCUGACCGGUGGAAAAGCAUCUACAUUCAUUACAGUCCAAAAAACGCAUGUUGUUAGAUAGGAUUAACCAGGAAAGUGAAGAAUGACUAGCCACAGACACCUACAAAUGGUACUGGUGUACCAGUUAGUCUGGUACGUGAUAGCAGCAGAAUCACUAGC